AUGACUGCACCGUAGGCGCGUGCGUGGCACACUCACUUUUUUUUGGUGGGGGAAAUUCCUCUUGUUGUUGAGACGACAACUAAAUCUCUCGUUGCUUGCGCGGACAUGCGUACGUCAAACCCACUGUCGAUCAUUCAUCAUAGGUGAAGCACACACCUUCUCCCUACUCUCCCCUCGCCUAUCGCUUCCUUUUCGUGUUCUCUACUCGUUUUUCCUUUAUCCUCACUGCGAUGCAUCAGUGUGUGAAAGUCCGCGGGCUCGAGCAAGCGGUAAUUCCUUUCUCGGUCGCGCACUCUUCGCCGUCCACAGCCCACCGCUCCUCUGCCUGCGAGAGUGGCGCCGCUGGCGAUGAGGAACCCCACGCAGAGCCUUUGUACCUAUCUCUCCAACAAGGAGGACGGGUACGCGUGCUACGGCGAGAGUGUCAUCACGGCACAGGUCCACAUGGUGCCUCCUCACACAUGCUAGCAGCUGCCGCCGGUGGUGCAGCUCUAUCGCAGCCGCAGUGGUGUAUCGCACAAGGAGAAGAUGGGGCUAUCGGGCUUGUCCCUGGUUCCCUGCUGCGGCGCGUGCCUGGCGCGCUUUUUUCUGCGCGUCUCGACCCCGCGGCGGUUGCUAUGCGCAGUGAUCGUUUACACGGCUCCUCAUCGCUGAAAACCCCCACCGCCACUCGCCACGGCCACCACGGCACUUUGGAGGCGAGCGAGAAGGCAACAUUGCGUGGAGCGGAAGGGGUCAGACCGACGCAAACCGCGAGUCCCAAGAGUGGACCUCGGUCGCGUGACAUGGUGGACGAGGAUGACGAGGUCGCGCAUGCGCUUCCACUGCAGGGACGGCGGCAGUCAAGCCUGCAAGAGCGUCUGAGCGCCUUUUGUGAUGCCUCAUCCGCGAUAAUGUCGACACAUGGAGAGCCACACACCACGGAUACCGCCAUCGCAUCCCCACGUGCGGCUCGCGUCACAGAAACGGCCAGUGACAGGAACUGCUCUGAGAAGGACGAGAAGCGUCGACUCAUGAAGGAAGAAGCACGUGUGCGUGCGGAGCUGCACUGGCUGACGGACGACCUUGCGCCACGCCUGCAAGUAGCGUGCACGGAAGCGCAGGUCAAAUUGGAAAAGCUGCAGCAGGAUGGACGUCACGCAAACGCAGUUGGCUCCUGCGCUUCCUCUUGCCGCUCCCCAGACUCGCCGAAUCUGCUGGCAGCUGUCGAUCGCGAGCAUGAGCGUGUUGCGGGGCUGCUAGAGAAAGUGGAAGCUCUUCAGACUGAACUGGAGCACGAAGCGUCGGCGGACGCCGUAGGCGAGCCGCAGAAAUCGCAGCCCUCCAAUGGACACGAUUUCACCGCCAUCAGCAGCAGGUGCGAAUUAGGGGAAUCGAGCGCGCCCGCCGUGUUCCGCGCACGCAGCACCGACGCAGAUCCUCCGCGGCCGCUCGAGCCGAGGCGCAGCAGCCACGACGACGCGGCCACACAAGGCCUCCAGGCGCCGGACCUGUACAUGGUAGAAAAGCUGCGUCUCCUCGUGGCAGAAGAAAUGGAGACGGUGGACUCGUACCGGUCACAAAAACUGGCGCUGCAGCAACGUCUGUCUCGGCUAGCUGAGCUGAUCGAGGAAGUUGCCGCAGAAGAAGCAUCGCUGAAGAAGUCGGAGACGGCACUGCAUGAAUUGCUGGAUGGACGGACAAGCGAGCCCGUGGUUGACUUUGCCUGGCCACGCACCCUGCAAGGGCUAACAGAUGAAGAGGACGCAGCUCUGAGCGCGUCUGUUCAUAUGUUUGACAAGUACAAGCGCAAGCUGCAGCUCAUCACUGACGGCAUUCAAUGCUGCUCCUCCACAAAUGCCCCCAACAGCAGUGCGGAUAUGAGUCUGUUGGCCGACUCGUCCGCCGCCGUCUCCUCAGCCACGGCGGCCGCCGGGGCGACUGAGCGGAGCGGACUUAGCACGACAACCUGUGCAGAAACGCCCAAUCGGCGAACGCACUCAAAUGGUUGCGCCUCCAUGUGCGGCGAAAGCAGUGCUGCCGCGACGCAUACCUCUUCACAUGUGGAGCACCUUCGCCAGGUCUUGAAGACGGGUGACCGCGAGCUGGCACAGCUGCAGGCAAAACUGAAAGCAGCACAAGAGUACUGUGACACGUAUGGCCCGAUCGCACGAGAACUCGAUGCGCAGCUGCAACGCGGUGAGCGGAUUUUGGCCGAGAGGAAGAAAUAUUUGGCAGAUUUACAAGCGGCAGAGAGCGGGGAAGCCUUGAGGAGUGUCUGCUGAAGCACCGUCGCCUGGGAAGGAUGCCGUCACUGCCGUUGCAGUUGCUGCUACUCUGCUCGGCGCAUCAGCCUCUUUCACGGCAGCGGUGCAGUGGGGGAGGGGUGAGGGGUCGAUGCCAUUCUCGCUCUUUCUCUCAAACUCGAAACGAUGGAAGAUCACAUGUGCGGGUGUGUACAAGGGCACAUCAGGGCUCUAUGAGGCUGCCCGCUAUCGCCUCCCUCUAUCCCCCUGCACCCACAAACACCCUUUUCUGCUGCCUUCAAACGAUGAGCUGUGCGCCUGUGUCGAUUAGUGUGUGUAGUGGUGGUGGUGGUGAGGAGGAGGACUCGCCCUGACGCUGCUGCCUAUUCGUUUUUUUUUUGAGUUUUUGCUUUUUGCACUCUUUAUUUUCCCGUUUCCAUGAGCACAUAGGCAACUAUCCGUGCGCGUCGUUCGAACACUGUGUGUGUGUGUGUGUUUGUCAAUCUCGCGGGGAGGGGGAGGGGAUAGUGCGACAGUAAAGGGCAAAGAAGCCCUGAACAUCAAGAAGGUGCCGAAACCUCGCCACUGCUCGUCUUUCCUCUCUUUUCCAUCCACCUCACCAUCACCACCGCCCACUGUAUGCCUGUGUCUCGUCCACACUGACGCGUAUAUGUCUCCCUGAAGCUGUUGGACUCCUUCAUAUCGGUGGACGCCCGCCGUUGGGGAGAACUUGCACCGUCCUGUAGCCGUUCGAAAUGGGGGAUGAUAUGUCUGUGUGUGCCCAUUCACAUCGAUGUCCCUGUCUCUGUCCUUAUCAG
rnacentral:misc_RNA from 1 species